GCCCAGCUCCAAGCCUCACACUGACACUUUCAAGAUGGCCGCCACUCUCAGCGCAAGGACCAAUGAAAGAGCGAUAGAUACGUGACGUCACCUCCCACUCCCUCCUCGCAGUCUGGACUCCUGCACAUACCUGUCCCGCGAUGACAUCACCACCAAACGUCCCUCUGCGAUAGUAUAUAUCUGUUCAGGGCGAGAACAACGGCAAGCUGCUGCUGCUGCUGGGAGGCAACACCAGGCCCCUUCUCAGGCCCCCUCCCCUUCUGUCUCCCCCUCUCCAGCCCACUCCCCCUCUCCUGCCCACACCCCCUCUCCAGCCCACACCCCCUCUCCAGCCACCUCACCCUCUCCGGCCCAAUCCCACUCUCUUUCCCAAUCCCCCUCUCCAGCCCAAUCCCACUCUCUUUCCCAAUCCCCCUCUCCAGCCCAAUCCCACUCUCCCGACCAAUCCCCCUCUCCAGCCCAAUCCCACUCUCCCGACCAAUCCCCCUCUCCAGCCCAAUCCCACUCUCCCAACCAAUCACCCUCUCCGGCCCAAUCCCACUCUCUUUCCCAAUUCCCCUCUCUGCCCCCCUCCCCCUCUGUGUCCCAAAAAAACACUCCACCACCCUCACGCUAUCAUUCCCAAACCCCCUCUGUAAGGUCCUCCCCCUUCCAUACUCUUACACAAUUAGACCCUCCUUCCCCAUCCUGCCUCCUUUAUCCAUCCAGCACCCAUCCCCCAUCCAGCCAACCUCACCCAUCCAGCCUCCAUCCCCCAGCCAGCCACCGUCGCCACCAUGUGAAUGGGCAGCAGAGGCCCCGGAGCCACUUGAGGGAGGUGGGCAAGUGGCAGAGGAGAAUGUGGCAGUUGGAGAUCCCAGCAGUUUGCCGGAGAUUGUUUCCCGCCUUAAAGGCAAUCUGAGGGCCGUCAUAGCGGACUUAGAACUUUUGGAUUAAUUUUUUUUUUUUUUAAUAUUUACAUUAGCUUAAAAAAUAACAAAAAACAAAAAAUAAAAUUGAUUUUGAAGUUAA